rnacentral:lncRNA from 1 species
UAGUAGGAAAUUUAUACCAAACCUUAGUACAUUAAUAAGACUUUUAUAUAAUAAAUUAAGUAAAACUGACAAAAGUACUUUAAUAGCAAAGAGAUAAAACUAAUUUAAAAGCUUAAAAGAAUAGUUAGAAAUCUUAAGUUAUUAGUAUUACCAAUAGAUAGUUACUAUAAAAUUAUAUAAAUUGAUGCAAAUAGUUUAGGAUGGGUAGGAAUAUUAAUAUAAAAGCUCAAUAAAGAUAGCUCAAAAGAGAAUGAAGAAAUAACAAUAUGUAUUAAUGGAAAAUUUACAGAAAUAGAAAGUAGAAAGUCAAGUACAAAAUUAGAAAUUUUAGGAAUAAUAAAUUAUUUCAACUCAUUUCAUUUGUACAUACAAAACGAUACAUUUACAAUAAGAACCUAUUACAAUAAUAUAAAAGAAUUUCAUAAAAAAGUACAAAAGAAAAAUUUUGAUAAGAAAAAUUCUUUUAUUAGUAAAAGAUGGAUAUAUACUUUUUAAAAGUAAUAGCAGGUUGAGAAUAUAAAGCAAAAUUUGAACAUGUAGUAGGUAAGACUAAUUAUUCAAUUAUUAUUUUGCAGAAAUGGAGCGAUAUAUGAAUUUCAGUCCAAUAAAACUUAGACAGUUUCCUUCAGGAACAAAUUUAAGUUUCAAAAGUAAAUAUCAAUUAUUAGACAGUCAAUAAUGUAUCUUAGACAAAUUGUGGAGUUGUAAUAACCUACACGAUAAAUUAAAAAUAGCCAAUGCACUCAUGAAUUAUUUUAGACAGAUUAAUGAGCAUGUAGAAAGUAAUCAUUUUGCAUUUUUUGAAUUAGUCAGAGGUAGACAACUAGGCAUUUAUAGUCAGUGAUAAUUGACCUAACAAUCCAUUAUCAUGAUCCAUAAUAAAGAGGUUUUUCUACAUUUCAUAAAGUAAUAGAAUUCGUUAGACAAAAGAUAGGACCAAAUUACCAUGUCAACCAUUUAAUUAACCCUUUAAAUAAUGCGCCAACAUCAUCAAAUAGAUAGUUAAAUAAUUCUUUAGAUAAUGCAUCAUCAUCAUCAUCCAUACAAUUUUAAAACCAUUGUGAAGUCAUGACGCGCACAGUUAGAAAGCUUAAUGAUACUAGAUAUUAUUUAGACAAUAAAGUAAAUGUAUAAAGACAAAAAUAAUUGCAGUGGAAAGUGCUAAUACAGAAUUAUUUAGACAUCUCACAUUUCAAGAUAAAUAUAAUACAUUAGACAUUCAGUAUCAUAGUAGGCAGAAUAAACAAAAAAUAAUAAGAAAAGAAUGGGAUGAACUUGAGAAAUGGAAAUUUUCUCUUCUUCCAAAGAGUGAAUAUCCACUUCCAAUCUAAUUAAAAAAAUAAACAAGAAGUAGUAAAAAUAGCUUUAGACAAACAAAUACAUAUUAUAAAAUUUUUAAAUGAUCUGGUUAUAUCAAAAGUAAAUAUUAAUGGUUUAAGUAUUAUAUGGGAUACUCAGUAUAAAACUAAGAAUUUAAAUUGUCCUAGAAAAGAUCCAUUGUGUGAAUCAGUUCCUUUAGAAAGAUUUGUUUGCAAAUGUCAUCUUAUUUAUAGUAUAUCAUCAGUUUGUAUAAAUCUAGCCAGAUAUGAACUGCUAGAGAUAGAAUACAAAAAAGAAAAAAUAGUUUUAACACCAACUUUACUAUUAGAUUAUGGUUUAUUAGGUCAAGUAGCUUAAAAAACUUUUGCCACAACAAAUAACCAGCUUGUAGAAUUAUACGUAGAUAGUAAAACACUAGAAUGGGAUGAGUUUGGAGUCAUACUAGUCCAUUAUAAAAUAGCAGUAAGAUUUCAUAAAUUUAAAACCUUCACUUUUUGGAAUAAAAUUUCUUUGACCUUGUAGACGAUUUAGUAUAAAAGAGUAGCUUGAACAUUGAACUAGUAAAGUAAUAGGUAGAUAGUUAUAUUGGGCGCAUUAUAAGCUUGAAAACUAUAUCCUAAUCACUAAAGAUGUAGUCUAAAAGAUUUGCUCUAAACAUCCCCUUCCGGAAGUAUCCUUCUUCACCAAAACCAAAUACAUAAGAUUGGUAGAGCACUAUGCUAAAGAAUUCAAAGCAGAAACGUAAAGCUCAGAAAGAACAACAUGAAUUGGAUCUACGAAAAGUUGAAUGGUGGGAUGAUUUGGGAAGUGAAGACGCAGACAACAUAGAAAGCGAUAUGGAUGAUUAGCCAGCAUUAUCUAGCUAGUAAUAGUCAAAAGUCAAAGUAGCCAGACUUUAUCAAAGUCAUGUGUUACAAAAGCCUUUCCUUUCCUCACUACUUGACAAGGCAAAAACUAUUAGGACAUCUUUCUUGUUUUGUCAUUUUAUUGCCAAUGGUAAAUAAGUUGUGAGUUAGCUUAAAAAAUUGCAGUCGGUCACUAUUUACUGACAGUUAGUCACCAUAAAAUUACAAUAGCUAGUCAAUCUUUUUAAUAUUUACCUUUUUAAUUCUUCAUUGGUCAAUUGCCAUAUGUAAAGUGUAGUCUUAAAGCUUGUCAUUUGUACAUAGAGUCAUAAAUUGUGGCAAUAAUUGUAUCGAGUCCUUAGUUGUAUAUAUAUUAGGGAUGCCAAAUAAACCCAAACUUGGCCGAGACCUAGACAAACCUGAAUAUUCCAGUCCAGGUUUAACCCACACCGAAUGUUAAAAGAACCACGAUUCGGCAGUAAAAUUUUAGACCCAGACAUAUCUGGGCCUGGUUCCGGGUUUACUUGAACCCGAAUAUCCGAAACUCGGACUUGGAUAUUUUAUUUUUGAAAUUAAGUAAAAAAUUAAUUUUAAGUAUAAAAAAAAAAAAAAGAAACCUUAAAGCACUAUAGUUGCUUGUUUUCCUCUCCCUCAAUCUUUUUGAUGACUUAACCCCACAAAGUCCUAGUUCAUCGUCGCAGAUUGUUAUCAAAUUAUUAUCAUCAUCAAUUCGUCUUCAAUUAAGCAUCCCAUUCAUGACUUGUUGCCUUUCAUCUUCAUAUUCAUUACUUUGGCUUUCUUUGAAGUUAGUGAGUUUCGAUUCUCUUUAGCAUUAUUUUACACCACCAUCGUUUUUUACUCGAUUCCUCCAAUACUUUUCACCCCAUCAUUAAUUCAUCAUCAAUCGUCAAUCAUCAUCACGACAUCGUAAUUUUGUCACCCCGCUUCGCAAAGUAGCUGACUGUUGUUAAAGUUCAUCAUUCCCUAAUUUCUUUAUGAAACAAAUCUAUCUCUAUAACUUGAUGGCUUGUAAGGAUGAUUAUGUUUGAAAAUUGAAUUUGUAUGCUCUGUUAUUAUUCGGGUUCUUGGUUUUUAUUUCUAAUUAUUUGAUUUUGAAUUAUUUUCCAUUUAUUAUUGUUAACAAAUUAGAGAUUUAGAAGAGGAAAUGACUGAAGAAAGAGAUGGAAACUUGUAUUUAAAAUACUAGUUAGGAAACCCAAGAGGAGGGUGAAUUGGUUUUCUAAAAAUUUAAGCAACAAAGAACCUUAAUGCAAUUUAAACAAAGUAAUCAAAUUCGAAAUAAACAAAAUUUUGUGCAAUGAAAAAUAAAGAGAUAGAGUAAGAGAGAGCAAACACGCAAUUUUUAAGUGGUUCGGCCAACUCCGCCUAUGUUCACGCCUCCAAGCUCACCGGACUUGAGGAUUCCCUUAUCCAAGCCUCCAAGGCUUCAAGAACUUUUACAAUUGACUUCACAGGUGUUAAACAACAUUUACAACAAGAGAUUAUCUCAAAUCUCUUAACCCAAGUGUUUCCUACACUCACCCAAGUGUUUCCCACACUUACACUUUCUUAAAUACAAGAUUUUUCUCACACACAAUCUAUGUGUUUACAACAAUAUGCUCAAGGUGUGAUUUAAAGAAUGAAUGAACAAAUUAAAGCUCAAGAAAUAUUGUAUUCUCAAUAAUAUGCUCUCCGGCAUUUCUUGGAUUCAGUAUUCACUUUGAUUUGGAUCUAAUGCAGCCUUUUUGUAGUUGGAACUGAAAACUAGUCAUUAUUAAUUUUUUGUAAAAAGUCAAAUUACCAUUAAGCCUUAUCGGAUCGCCGUUUUGACUUGAGCUAGUUACCGUUGUGUUAUAAUUUCAAAUUAUCGGAUCAUCGUUAGUUUUCAUAAACUAAACUUCAAUUCUGUUCGAUGUCAGUUAGCCGUUAUCUCCUAAACGGCUAGUCAUUUGCUACAGUGAAAUUAUUUUCUAAAAUUAUAGUUUUACCCCAAAAAUUGCUAUAAUUAUACUAUAUCCCAAAUCUUUAUAAAACUUUACAAAUAGGUCCAUUUUCAGAGUUUCAAAACAAUACUUGUUGAUUUCAAGGUUUUCAAAACUUUUCUAAUUAGACCAUAAACUUGAAAAACAACCAAUUUUACAAAAUCAUUUUUCCUUUAAGUAUAAAAUAUUUUUAUUAUGAAAAUAAUGAUUUAUUUAAAAUGUUUGAAAAGUACUAUGAGCUUUUAAAAGCUUAAUCAUUUUUAAUCUUGUUUGUUAUCAUUAAAAUCAUCAUUAUGAAUACAUAUAUGUUAACAGUAUUUCUUUAGCAAACAUUCGGGUUCUCAACUCGCAAUUUGAAAACCCAGAUUUUUCCAGGUUCAACUCGGUCAGGAUGCAGAGGAAAAAAAAUCCGAGUUUAAAUCCGAAUUUAGUAUUGCAAAUUGUCAUCUAGGUUCGGAAUCAGCAGGCCCAAACCCGAACCUGGACCUAGAUUUUGAGAUCCCUAGUAUAUAUAGACCUCUCAAGAACAGGGAGAGAGAGAGGGGAGAAAGAUUCAAGGUUUGAAAAAAAAACAAAGAGUCAAUACUUUAUACUCAAAAACAAAAGUUAAAAAAAUCUUAUUAAUAGACACUUAGCAAUCUUUUAGAUACUCAACAAUCUUUUAGACAUCAACUAAAAAACUCUUAUCAAGUAAGUAAAUUUAAUUUCUUUAGUGGUAUUUAUCUUUCGGGUUCAGAAGUCUCGCUUAGUUAACGAAAGUAUAAAUUAUAUUUAAAGUAUAAACAAAAGGCAGUCGUUAUUAUUAUUCAAGGGAAAAGAGUUUGGAGAUUUGUUUUUUGAAAAAUAGGUUUUUGUUUUUGACAAAAAUAAUAAGAACUUAGUAUAGGUUUCUGUUGAUUUUCUGAAAGUUUCUUUUUUAAACAUUGUCUCAUUGGUCCGUUUAGCCAUUAAUGUGUUAUGAAAGUAUUUUUGGGUGUGAGUUAGGAGUUUAAAAGUGUUUUUAACUAGCAUAUUUUCAUAAUUAGUUUAAUAAACUUUGGAAAACAAGUUUUUGCCAAGGCAACUCCCGCGGUUUUGACAAAACUUUUUGGGAAUUCACCGUAUAUAGGCGGGAAACUGCCGACAUAUAUUCUAAUGGUUAACCUGAAUGGGAGCUAUAUCAGUCUUCAUUGCCGGUCUAACAAGCCACGUACAUGUCUUCCCUUGUAUUCUUUCCUUCUUUCCUCUUCUUUGGAUCAAGAUCAGAAAAAAUAAAAUAGUCAAUACUUGUACUAAGAAACAAAAGCAAUAAAAAAAAUUUUAUUCAUGGGCACUCAGCAAUCUUUAAGACAUCAACUAGAAAGCUCUUAUCAAGUAAGUAAAUUUAAUUUCUCUAGUUUUAUUUAUCUUUUGGGUUCAAAAGUCUCACCUAGUUAAUGAGGGUAUAAAUUAUAUUUAAAGAAUUAACAAAGGCGGUCCUUAUUAUUAUUCAAGAGAAAAGAGUUUGGAGGAAAAGGUUUUGAAAAUUGGGUUUUUAUUUUUGACAAAAAUAAUGAGAACGUUGUAGAUGGUCUUCGUUGACCCAUUUAGCCAUUAAUGUGUUGAUAAGACGUUUUUGGGUGUGAGUUAGGAGCUUAAAAGUAUUUUUAAUCAUGUUUUCAGAAUCUGUUUAAUAAACUUUGGAAAGUCGGUUUUUAUCAAUUCAGUUUUCACAAUUUUCACAAUUUUUUUUGGGAAUUCACUGUAUAUAGAUAGAAAUUCGGCGACAUAUAUUCUAAUGGUUAAUCCGAAUAAGAAUUAUAUCAAUCUGCACUGCCAAUCUAUCCAGCCACGUACAAGCCUUCCCCUGUAUCCUUCUUUUCUCUUCUUUUCUCUUCUUUAAAGAAUGAAGAAAAAAUAGCAAUUUUUUUGUUAAGACUCUUUAGAUUAGGACAAUACAAACUAACGCGUAUAAGUGCGGACAUCCUCAUCAAUUCUAAUGCGGACGCCACUAAAAUAUGAAAGGUCGUGAACUCCUACCUCGCAUGCCAAUACUAGAAAUAAAUUUAAAAAGUAAAAAAAAAAAACCCCAUUACUUCGGUUAGAAAAUAGUUUUGGUUAGGAUAUGGGCCAAAUGCAAAGCCUAUCUCGGGCCUAUAAAAUUGCAUGGACUUUGAGGCCUUUUCACUUUUAUUAAACCCUCUUCUUUCCGCUUUGUUUUAACACCCUCGACCUUCGGUGUCUAGAGCAGAGAAUAUUUGGUCGAAUGAAAAUAGAGAUUUAAUGGGAAUUGCAUAGACGAUUGAUAAAACACUAGGACGAAAGCUAGAAUAACAAUUUUAAGCUAUAAUAUUUAUAUUUAUCACUAUUUACAAGGGAUAGUAUGCUCUUUAAUUAGAUGCAUGAUUUAGAUUUUUUUUCAUCUUACCUACUUAAAUAUCCAAUUCAGAAUCAAUUUUUGCCAUCAUAAAAUAAAAUUUGUGGUUUGGUAUAGGAAAAAGACUCCAAUCAACUUCAAAUAAGUUCACUUUAAAUUAAAACUAAUUAAGCAUAUUCAUGCUUUUAGACCUACCUAAACACUAGCUUUAUUAUCAUUAAUGUUUAUUCUUUUGGUUUCUUUCAGUUCUUGAGUGUGACAAUAAAUCUUUGUUAGGUUUUCUUCUUCAACGGUUGUAAGCUCUUUAAAGCAAAAUCCCACCACAUUAUAAAGCUUUCGAUAUCCUCUAGUUUAUCUUUCUUGUCGAAUGUCAAUUUACCAGAUUAAAAUCUUUUCAAAUUCUUCUACCUUUUUUACGAAUGUGUUUUGAUAUAGAAUUUUCUUUACAUUAUUGUGUCCAUUAGAUUCAUAUGACACUUGGAAAAAGCUUAAUCUUUUUGAGAAUUAGUGUGGUAGUUCAAAAUGUACAUUAUCUACUGACUUUAAAUAACCCUAAAAUGCUAUUUUAAAUUGACGGCCAAGAAUUUACUAGUUGCUUUCCAAGAUGUGAUUUCUCUUUUAGCAUCAUUUGUUUGUUCUUUUUUAAUCACUUUUUUUUUUAAUACGUUUGACCCAUUUCAACUAACUUCCUAUAUUUCAAUUAUUAAUGACUGAAUAAGAAAUAAUUAUGCUGAGACAUUCAUAUUUUUAUGGUAAUAAAGCUCGGGUUCAUUCAAAAAAUGGCCAAUUGGAACAAACAUUUGUUUUAAUAAAUUUAUUGCUUUUGAUAGAAUUUCUUUUGAGACUGACGAGAAAUGCUAGAGUGUUUCUUACAAACAAAUUUUACGUAUAUAUUUCUAUCAACAAGAUUAAUUCAAACUCCCAAAAAAAAAUCAUUUUAGUUAAUCAUAUUUUUUAAAACUCAAUAAUUAAAGCAUCAAUCCUUGCUGCUUCGAGUUUGGAAAUUGUAACAGCUAACUAAUUAAUUAAUUUUAGCAAUAACAAGGAAUAUGUAUACUCAACGAAAAAGGUUUUUCAAAACCUAAAAUUAAAAUUUGCCCUAGUCGAUGACACGAAGAAAAAGGAAAAAAAAAUGUUUGCUUCCAUAACUCAUAAUCAUCUUGGGUCCAAAAGUAAAAAUCUCCAUUUAGAAACAAUAAUUAAAUUAAAGAGGUAAAAAUCUCGACCCACUCAUAAGAAAAUAAUAAUAAUGAUGAUCCUUGAUGAAAUGUGAAGAGCAGAACCGCGAAGGAUCCCACAAUAAGAUUUUGUGGCAAUUUUAUUGUCAUAUCGAGACCAAUAAUACCAGUUUGCAUGCUUCAAAAUUCAUUAAAUUAUACAAAUCAUUAACAUAUGUGUAGUAUUCUUUUCACCUUCCCACUUUGAAAAUAUAAUUAUGUGAGGGAAUUUUUAGUUCCAGGUAAGAACCCAUAAGUAAAAAUAUCAAAAAAAUAAAAAACAAAAAAUAGAUAGAGAUAAAACUAAUCACACAAUAUAAGAAUUUAUAUAAAAAGUUUCUAUAUUGGAGAAAAACCACGACUGCCAAGGACAACAAGAAAAAAAACCCAUUAUGUGAAAAAUUAUUAGAAUCACUCUAGUAUUUUUCUCACACCCAAAACUCCAAUAACACAUAAUCUCUUGAUAGACCUAUUGUUUAUUUCACACUAAAAACUGUCUACUUGUAUAAAACUAAUUGUUGUAUUAUGCCAAUAAAUGAACCCAAUCUUCCUAUAUAUAUUGAUUAUUUCUUGUAGGAGAAAUAUUCAUUUUCUUAUACUAGUUGUACCCUCCUUGAAUAAAUCAAGUCCCAAAGUGAAAAUUACUUAUUUUUAAAAUAUGAAUUCUAUUAAAGAAGAAAAUAUCUUAAAAAAUCUUGAUUGAAAAAUAAGAUAUAUUUUCUAACAAUUAUAAAUAAAAUUAAAAUAUAAGUAUGAUCCGCUUAUUGAUAAAAUAGAAAUGAAAGUACAAAAACAAAGUUAAAGUACAUUAAUCGCAACGUGGCAUAUCUAAAAGUGAUAAGUUAGCUGCUAAUUGUAAUCUCUCUCAAAUCUUUUGCUUGAUCUAGCCAUGCAACCAUUGAUUCUUUUUCUCACUCUUUAAGCACGCGAAUUAGGUGAUGAUGUAAAAGCAUUGCUUAAAUUUGGACCACCAAAUGAAGAGGAUUAUUCUUUAUUAAUAAAAUCUAUUUUGUAACGUGAUUUGGUCCAAAGAUCAUGAUAUAUCGUCUCAGGGUCAGGGAUCUUUCUUUUCUAAUAAAUACAAAGAUUUUAAUUUUCUUUUUUUUUCUGUCCAAUUUGGUAUCGAUUAGGGCAUAUUUGACUCAGGAUGCGGCCUGAAAGUUCUCAAGUUGAUAGCAAUAAUUUGGUCAAUUUGGCCACUCAUAAUAGGCAUCAAAUACUCAGGUUUUAGUCAACUUUAAUUAUUUGGAAUUUUCAAUGAAGAGUUUUGUUAGGUGAGAAGAAUAAAAAUCAACAUAUUACUUAUGGUCGCAAGUCUAGAAUCUCCGUAAUUAAUUCAAUAGUUAAAAGAGAAUAUAAAAUAAUAAAAAUAAAUUAUGUGGACCAAAAAAAUAUUAAAUUCAACUAAUUUAAUCAUGUCAUUUUAGUUUGUAUAAAAUAAAUUUAUACAACACUUUGUAACUCUAUUAUUAUUCUAUUCUUAUUUGAUUCAUUUUCACUUUUUUAAAGUCAUUAAUCUUAAUAUAUUAUCCAAUCGGUGUCGUUGUAAUUGAAAUUCUAGAACUUUUGAUCAAAUGAAUGGAACAUGAUAUAUAUACAUAGGUGGAUUGAAGAAGAAAGGUAUCAUAAUGAUGAACUUCAUCAUACUUUUUUUAAAUCACUAAUUAAAAUGUGUUUGGUAUGUCAAAUUACACUCAAUAUCCUUUUUGUCAAGACUAGAAUAGAAUUGGAAUCAAUGACGAAACUAUAACUCAAUAUUAGACCGAGCUAAAUUGAAAAAUUUUAAUUAAUUAUAUAGUUGAGGGAAGAUCACAUGAAAAAAAAAAUCAAUUUUUCGAUAUCAAGCAAAAAUUGGAUGGAAGGAAGCCGUAAUUUGUAUAAAUUAUAUUUUAAUAAACUAAUUAACUAAACACUAGAGGACUUACAUGAAAUUUUACAGGGACCAGCCUGGCUAUUUAUUGGUUGCUUCACCAGUCAGAAAUUUGCAUAAAUUUCUAGCGCCACUGGCCAUACAGAAGUGUUACACACACAUAUAUAAAUAUUUGUUAUUUAGAGCUGCUAAUUUUUUUAGCCGCUAUGUCUGUAUAUUUCUUGGGACUCUAACUCCAAUUUUAAUUCUCGAUAGAUAUUUGUUAUUUCGAGUGUGCCACGAGUCAAGGUACGCAAUUAUAUGUACUUAAGCCAAGAAGUAAUUAACUUAAAAGCAUGAUUAAAGAACACAUAUUCCCCAUGUGCAAGAGAGGCUACUGCAUGUUCAAGAUCAAGAGCCAUAUUUUUCAUGAUUAAUAUUUAAUGACUCAAAAUUUGGGCGCUCAAGAACUCAAAGAUGACNN